rnacentral:rRNA from 1 species
GAUUUCAUGUUACGCCAAUUAGUGGAUAACUUGGCUUGUAGACCGAUGAAGAGCGUGGCAAGCUGCGAUAAGCUUGGGGUAGGCGCAUGCAGCCUUUGAUCCCAAGAUACUUGAAUCAUCCAGUUUUUCUGGAAGGGAACCUAGGGAAUUGAAGCAUCUUAGUACCUAGAGGAAAAGAAAACAAACGUGAUUCCGUUAAUAGGGUCGACCGAAAGCGGAGAAGAACAAACCGAAUCUCUUAUAGUGAUAUAAGAGACAUGUGGGGUUUUGGCUUAUUUACUUCUUAAAUACGAAGUUGAAUUUUUUCUGGAAUGUUAAACCAUAGAGGGUUAUAGUCCCGUAAACAUAAACUAUUUAAGAAGAUUUUUAAGAUCCAAGAGUAUUGCGCGUUGGAUAUCGCGUAAGAACAUGGCAGGCACUUACUGCUAAUUCUAAAUAUACUACAAGACCGAUAGUAAAUGAGUACUGUGAAGGAAAGUUGAAAAGUACUCCUAACGGAGGGUUAAAAGCACUUGAAACUAAUUGGUUACUGUACGGGCAUGGCCUGAAAGUAAUGACGAUGGAUAAUAAGGGCGUACUUUUGUACAAACGUCAUCUAUCUGAACGAGGUUGUGCUGUCCGUCACGAAGCACGGGCGAGGGAGUUUAUCUUUAUGGCAAGACAAAGUAACGAAGUUACGGUGUCGAAGGGAAACCAAUAUGUUCGCAAUUUUUUAAUGAGGAACAAGGUGUUAACUGUGCCUUUAGUCAUAGGGAUAUGACCCGAAACCAGAUGAUAAAUGCUUGGGCAGGGUGAAGGCAACCAACUGGUUGUUGGAGGCCCGCAGCAGUACUAGUCUAACUGUUUGUGUGACCUGAGUAUAGGACUGAUAAGGUAAUCUAAUCUGGUGAUAGCGGGUUCCUAUCGAAAAAUCUCUAAGGAUUGCCUGGCUGAAGACCAAUAAUAGGGUAGAGAUACUGAUUAGAAAGUAUUGGAAAGAAAUUUCCAGCUUUCUUGUCAAACUCCGAAUUUAUUAUUGUCGUUGAAUGCUGGAGUAGGGGCUGGCGGGUAAGCUGCUUGUCCAAAAGGGGAAUAACCCAGACUACGAUUAAGGUCCUUAAAUACCAACUAAGUGUAAAUGCGAAGGGAGUUUUAUUUCCAAGACAAUUGGGAGGUUGGCUUAGAAGCAGCCAUCCUUUAAAGAGUGCGUAAUAGCUCACCAAUCUAGGAAUAUUGCCCUGAAAAUUAACGGGACUAAGUUGGUUACCGAUAUCGUAGAGCACAUGUCAAUGUGAUCUGGUAGGUAGGUGAUUUGGUAGAGUAGAAGCUAGGUUGUAAAAUCUUGUGGAUCUGCCAAAUAUAUGGAUCCUUGCGAUAGUAACAUCAAAGAAAAGUGAGAAUCUUUUUCGCCGAAGGGGCCCAGGUUUCUUAGCACUAAUUAUUAGCUAAGAGUAAGUCGAUCCUAAGUUGAGUCGUAAUCCGAUAAACAACGAAAGGGAAACAGGUUCAUAUUCCUGUACCAAUAAAACACGUAUGGCAACGUAAGUAUCAUUUUUGACAGUUUUGGCAAGGUGGAGUGUGCUUGUCUGCACAUCUAAGUGUUGCAGACCUCUCGAGAAUCAUAAUGAUGAGAAGGAGGUCAGAGACACGAAUGGGAGAGAUCUUCCAUUGAGGCCAAGAUUCCAUGAAAAGAGAAUGAUACAGUGUUUUAUUGCUCGUACUUAGAACUGGAAAAGGUGUCCCUAGCUGAGUAGGCUAAGGCGUAAUAGGAGAAUUAAGUUAAGGGAAUUCGGCAAAUUAGCCCCGUAUCUUAGGUAUAAGGGGUGCUUACGGUUGUGUAAACUGUAAGUUUUAAUGACAAAGACCGUCCGACUGUUUAUCAAAAACACAGGUGACUGCUAGCCUGAAAAGGUGUGUAUAGUCACUGACUUCUGCUCACUGCUAGUACGUGAACAUCAAGUUCAAUUGAUCUAAGCGCUGGUAAAGAGCGGGCCUAACUCUGAGGCUCUCAUGGUAGCGUAAUACCUUGCCGAUUAAUUGUCGGCUUGCAUCAAGGAAGUAACGAGAUAGUCACUGUCCCUAACUUAAACCUAGUGAACUUGCUACGUGGUGAAUAUGCCACGGACGACCAAUGGGAGGAUAAGACCCCAUGGAGGUUUACCACAGUCUGAUGUUGUGAUAUUGUUUUCAUUAUAGAGCGUAGAUGGGAGUCGCUUAUGCUGUUCUCGCCAGAGAGCAGAUAGACGCCAAUGUAACACCAUCUAGUGAAGAAAAUAUUACUUAACGUUUCUUUGUAAACGGACAGCAUUUGAUUGGGUGGUUUGACUGGGGCGGUACGCCCCUGAAAAGAUAUCAGGGGCGUCCAAAGGUUUGCUCAAGCAGGUCAGAAAUCUGCUUUAGAGGACAAGACCAAAAGCAAGCUUAACUGUGUUUCGCACAGCAAGAAACGCAGGAAGGAAACUUGGGUCUAGCGAACGCUAGUGUCCCUAUUAGUGGGGGCCUAGUCUGACAGUAAACUUACCCUGGGGGUAACUGAGUUGUCGCGGGUUAGAGUCCACAUCGACCCCGCGGUUUGCUACCUCGCUGUUGGCUUACGGCAUCCUGGUUGUGCAUAAGCAGCCAAGGGUGGAGGUGUUCACUCAUUAAAGCCGUACAUUAGCUUAGUUAAGAACGAUGCGAGUCAGUUUGGUUUCUAUCUAUUGGUCGUGUUGGUUGUCUGAGGGAAAGAUACGUUUAGUACGAGAGGAACGAUGUGUCGCAAUCUCUGGUGUACCGAUUGUCUGACAAGGCACUGUCGGGUAGCUACGUUGUAUUUGAUAAGAGCUGAAAGCAUCUAAGCUCGAAGCGAAUCCUGAAACGAGACAGCCAUUCCUGCAGAGAUGUAGGACGAGGACGCCGGAAGAAGACCGGUUUGAUAGGUCAGUAAUGUAAGACGGGAGUUUCUUACGACUGUUUAAGUUUUCUGAUACUAAUAGUCCGAGAUGAAAUCUUU